rnacentral:rRNA from 1 species
UAACGCAUUAAGUUCCCCGCCUGGGGAGUACGGCCGCAAGGCUAAAACUCAAAGGAAUUGACGGGGACCCGCACAAGCGGCGGAGCAUGCGGAUUAAUUCGAUGCAACGCGAAGAACCUUACCAAGGCUUGACAUACACCAGAACACCGUAGAAAUACGGGACUCUUUGGACACUGGUGAACAGGUGGUGCAUGGUUGUCGUCAGCUCGUGUCGUGAGAUGUUGGGUUAAGUCCCGCAACGAGCGCAACCCUCGUUCUGUGUUGCCAGCCGUUAUGGUGGGAACUCAUGGGAUACUGCCGGGGUCAACUCGGAGGAAGGUGGGGAUGACGUCAAAUCAUCAUGCCCCUUAUGUCUUGGGCUUCACGCAUGCUACAAUGGCCGGUACAAAGGGCUGCAAUACCUGAGUGAGCGAAUCCAAAAACCCUCCCAGUCGGAUGAGUUUCAACUCACCUCUGAGGCUUGUCACCCAUGAGAGCAUCUGAACUGACAUAAA